rnacentral:rRNA from 1 species
GGGGCUGGAAGGCUCUGUGAUCGAAAUUCCGAAAGGAGCCUGAGGAUGGGUCUGCGGCCUAUCAGGUUGUAGUGGGGGUAAUGGCCCCACUAGCCUACGACGGGUACGGGCCCUGAGAGGGGGAGCCCGGAGAUGGACUCUGAGACACGAGUCCAGGCCCUACGGGGCGCAGCAGGCGCGAAACCUCCGCAAUGCUCGAAAGAGCGACGGGGGGACCCCAAGUGCCGUGGUACAACCACGGCUUUUCCGGAGUGUAGGAAGCUCCGGGAAUAAGGGCUGGGCAAGGCCGGUGGCAGCCGCCGCGGUAAUACCGGCGGCCCGAGUGGUGGCCACUAUUAUUGGGCCUAAAGCGUCCGUAGCCGGGCUUGUAAGUCCCUGGCGAAAUCCCACGGCUCAACCGUGGGGCUUGCUGGGGAUACUGCAAGCCUUGGGACCGGGAGAGGCCGGGGGUACUCCUGGGGUAGGGGUGAAAUCCUAUAAUCCCAGGAGGACCGCCAGUGGCGAAGGCGCCCGGCUGGAACGGGUCCGACGGUGAGGGACGAAGGCCAGGGGAGCAAACCGGAUUAGAUACCCGGGUAGUCCCGGCUGUAAAGGAUGCGGGCUAGGUGUUGCUUGGACCUCGAGUCCAAGCAGUGCCGCAGGGAA